rnacentral:rRNA from 1 species
GACGAACGCUGGCGGCGUGCCUAACACAUGCAAGUCGAACGGAACUGUUUUGAAAGAUUUCUUCGGAAUGAAUUUGAUUUAGUUUAGUGGCGGACGGGUGAGUAACGCGUGAGUAACCUGCCUUCAAGAGGGGGAUAACAUUCUGAAAAGAAUGCUAAUACCGCAUGACAUAUCGGAACCACAUGGUUUUGAUAUCAAAGAUUUUAUCGCUUGAAGAUGGACUCGCAUCCGAUUAGUUAGUUGGUGAGGUAACGGCUCACCAAGACCGCGAUCGGUAGCCGGACUGAGAGGUUGAACGGCCACAUUGGGACUGAGACACGGCCCAGACUCCUACGGGAGGCAGCAGUGGGGGAUAUUGCGCAAUGGGGGCAACCCUGACGCAGCAACGCCGCGUGAAGGAUGAAGGUUUUCGGAUUGUAAACUUCUUUUAUUAAGGACGAAAAAUGACGGUACUUAAUGAAUAAGCUCCGGCUAA